rnacentral:rRNA from 1 species
AUUGAACGCUGGCGGCAGGCUUAACACAUGCAAGUCGAGCGGAGAUGAGGUGCUUGCACCUUAUCUUAGCGGCGGACGGGUGAGUAAUGCUUAGGAAUCUGCCUAUUAGUGGGGGACAACAUUCCGAAAGGAAUGCUAAUACCGCAUACGUCCUACGGGAGAAAGCAGGGGAUCUUCGGACCUUGCGCUAAUAGAUGAGCCUAAGUCGGAUUAGCUAGUUGGUGGGGUAAAGGCCUACCAAGGCGACGAUCUGUAGCGGGUCUGAGAGGAUGAUCCGCCACACUGGGACUGAGACACGGCCCAGACUCCUACGGGAGGCAGCAGUGGGGAAUAUUGGACAAUGGGCGGAAGCCUGAUCCAGCCAUGCCGCGUGUGUGAAGAAGGCCUUACGGUUGUAAAGCACUUUAAGCGAGGAGGAGGCUACUUAGAUUAAUACUCUAGGAUAGUGGACGUUACUCGCAGAAUAAGCACCGGCUAACUCUGUGCCAGCCGCCGCAGUAA